rnacentral:lncRNA from 1 species
CAACAGCAAAUCUCCUUUAGAUCCAUAUUUUUUUCGAAUUGUGAUGUUCAUCUAUCUGUGCAAGAUAAUAAAUGGUUUAUCACAACAACCUUUUUGCAUGUUAUCUUUUUACUUGUGUUCUAAUUUAGAUCUAAGCAUCGCAUUCCAGAUCGGAUUAAAAGUUUUAAAAUCCACUGCCCCUAACUUUGAUCUAUCCGAUGUGUGAUUCGAUUCUUCAAC